CGCCAACAGCAAUUUGCACCAUUAUAACAUGUUUAUGCAAUACCCGACAUAUUACCCUGAUUCCGUUGCAUAGUGCUUUAAAAGGAUCCAAGUUCCGCAAUAUCAUUACUGGGCAAUUUUCUUUUAACACAAGCCGAUGAGCUGGUAAUCCUAGAGGACAUACUGAAUGCAUGAAAUCAACGUAUAGUCCUUGGUCAGUAGAGUUAACUGUUUCAUCAGUGCUAAGGUAUUGCAUCAGCAGAAUAGCAUCCUAAAUCCGAGAAUACAAAAUUUAUAAGCUGUUCCAUUGGUGUAGUCUUGGGGUCAGGAGUGAUAAUCAUUAACAGAGGAAUUGUUAUUUCAUCAUUUGAAUUGGAUGGUUCUUCUCCGUUACCUACUCUUGAUAGGAUAGUUUGCCAUCUUUGUCUAGAGGGAUCUUAAAGUGUGAAUGUGCAGUGCGUCCAUUUGGCAAAAUUGAUGCAGCAACUUCAGAAGUAGCUAUUGCAAGUGCAAUACUCCUAGCAGAUCUUAUAGUAGCAAGUAAAGCACGAUAUAGGAAGGUCUUGCUUGUGCCACCAGGACCAUCUAUAAAGAAACAGGUGCCAUUAUUUUUUCUAACUGCUUGCAUGAUUUCGUUGUAUGCUUUUAACUGGUCCGCAUUAAGUUUGGAGAUGCUUAAUAGAUCUAUUUCUGACACAUUUAUAUUUUGUUCUACCAAGAUUUCUCUGCACAUUAGAUCAUGCUCAGCUUUAUUUUCCAACAAAUCGUUAAGUCUGAAAUCCUGCAAGGUCUUA